UACGGGAGGCAGCAGUAAGGAAUAUUGGUCAAUGGAGGGAACUCUGAACCAGCCAUCCCGCGUGCAGGAUGAAUGCCCUAUGGGUUGUAAACUGCUUUUAUAUAGGAAGAAACGCCAUUAUUUAUGAUGGUUUGACGGUACUAUACGAAUAAGGACCGGCUAACUCCGUGCCAGCAGCCGCGGUAAUACGGAGGGUCCAAGCGUUAUCCGGAAUCACUGGGUUUAAAGGGUGCGUAGGCGGCGUUAUAAGUCAGAGGUGAAAGGCUGCAGCUUAACUGUGGGACUGCCUUUGAUACUGUAAUGCUUGAAUUAGGUUGAGGUUAGCGGAAUGUGACAUGUAGCGGUGAAAUGCAUAGAUAUGUCAUAGAACACCAAUUGCGAAGGCAGCUAGCUAGGCCUUAAUUGACGCUGAGGCACGAAAGCGUGGGGAGCGAACAGGAUUAGAUACCCUGGUAGUCCACGCCCUAAACGAUGCUUACUCGAUGUUUGUGUUUACAUGAGCAUCCAAGGGAAACCGUUAAGUAAGCCACCUGGGGAGUACGUUCGCAAGAAUGAAACUCAAAUGAAUUGA
rnacentral:rRNA from 1 species